rnacentral:rRNA from 1 species
UACGGGGGGUGCGAGCGUUGUCCGGAAUCACUGGGCGUAAAGGGCGCGUAGGUGGCUUGGCAAGCGCGUGGUGAAAGCCCGGGGCUCAACCCCGGGUCUGCCAUGCGAACUGCUAUGGCUUGAGCACUGUAGAGGCAGGUAGAAUUCCGGGUGUAGCGGUGGAAUGCGUAGAGAGUCCGGAAGAAUACCGGUGGCGAAGGCGGCCUGCUGGGCAGUGGCUGACACUGAGGCGCGACAGCGUGGGGAGCCAAACAGG